UACAGAGGGGGCAAGCGUUGUUCGGAAUUACUGGGCGUAAAGGGCGCGUAGGCGGCCUUCUAAGUCGAACGUGAAAUCCCCAGGCUCAACCUGGGAACUGCGUCCGAUACUGGCAGGCUUGAAUCCGGGAGAGGGAUGUGGAAUUCCAGGUGUAGCGGUGAAAUGCGUAGAUAUCUGGAGGAACACCGGUGGCGAAGGCGGCAUCCUGGACCGGUAUUGACGCUGAGGCGCGAAAGCUAGGGGAGCAAACGGG
rnacentral:rRNA from 1 species